CAAAGAACUUUGAAGAGAGAGUUCAAGAGGGCGUGAAACCGCUGAGAAGGAAACGGAUAGAGUUGACGGAGCCCGGUGGCAUUCAGCCGAUACUGUGCAGGCGCCAGGUUGUUUUUUUUUUAUCCUUUGAAAACGGGGAUGGGAACAGUGUGGCUGGGUCGGCACUGCAGUCGGUGUAUUUGCUCUGGGUGUGCGCUGAGACGUCCGUCGUGGUGUGCUGACGCCAUUGUCAGAGAGGACUGCGCUCAUCUGGGUGCGGAAACCUCUGAUUGGUUUAGGCGCAUCUGCGGUGAACUGCCUGCUGGUGAUUGUGUUGCCCCGCUGGUGUGCGCAAUGGUUGGCGCGUGGUUGGCGUGACUGUUGGGCGGUCGCUUGCGACUUGCUUAUGGUUGGCGGUUGGCUCGUUGCUGGCUCUAGUUGCGUUGGGCUAGCGCAUCUCGGUGUAAAAGUCAAUCACCUAUCCGACCCGUCUUGAAACACGGACCAAGGAGUCUAGCAUAUGCGCAAGUCAUUGGGUGGUAAACCUAGAGGCUCAAUGAAAGUAAAGGUCGCUUCAGUGCGGCUGAUAUGGGAUCCGUAUGGCUUUUGGCCGUGCGGCGCACCAUAGCCCCGUCCCAGUUGCUUGCAAUGGGGCGGAGGUGGAGCGUAUACGCUGGGACCCGAAAGAUGGUGAACUAUGCCUGAGCAGGAUGAAGCCAGAGGAAACUCUGGUGGAGGUCCGAAGUGGUUCUGACGUGCAAAUCGAUCACCAGAUUUGGGUAUAGGGGCGAAAGACUAAUCGAACUAUC
rnacentral:rRNA from 1 species